rnacentral:rRNA from 1 species
GUGGGGAAUAUUGGGCAAUGGGCGAAAGCCUAACCCAGCAACGCCGCGUGAAGGAAGAAGGUUUUCGGAUCGUAAACUUCUAUCCUUGGUGAAGAUAAUGACGGUAGCCAAGAAGGAAGCCCCGGCUAACUACGUGCCAGCAGCCGCGGUAAUACGUAGGGGGCAAGCGUUGUCCGGAAUGAUUGGGCGUAAAGGGCGCGUAGGCGGCCCGGUAAGUCUGAAGUGAAAGUCCUGCUUUUAAGGUGGGAAUUGCUUUGGAUACUGUCGGGCUUGAGUGCAGGAGAGGUAAGCGGAAUUCCCGGUGUAGCGGUGAAAUGCGUAGAGAUCGGGAGGAACACCAGUGGCGAAGGCGGCUUACUGGACUGUAACUGACGCUGAGGCGCGAAAGUGUGGGGAGCAAACAGGAUUAGAAACCCCGGUAGUCC